AACAAACACUAAGGCUGACAGAUGAGAUGGAUGGAGUAACAAAACACUAAGGCUGACAGAGGGAAGGAUGGAGUAACAAACACACUAAGUGGAGGAUGGUGGAGUCAACCACUAAUGUGACAGAUGAUUAUGGAGUAACAAACACUACGGCUGACAGGGAGAUGUUGGAGCAACAAACACUAAGGGGAGAUGGAUGGAGUAACAAACACUAAGGCUGACAGAUGAGAUGGAUGGAGCACCAACCACUAAGGCUGACAGGGAGAUGGAUGGAGCAACACAACUACUGGGAGAUGGAUGGAGUAACAAACACUAGGCUGACAGAGGAGAUGGAUGGAGCAACAAACACUAAGGGGAGAUGGAGGAGUAACAAACCACUAAGGCUGACAGAGGAGAAGGAUGGAGUAACAAACACUAAGGGGAGAUGGAUGGAGUAACAAACACUAAGGUUGACAGAUGAGAUGGAUGGAGUAACAAACCUAAGGCUGACAGAGAGAGAUGGGUAACAAACCAAGGGGGAUGGAUGGAGAACAAACACUAAGGCUGACAGAGAGAUGGAUGGAGCAACAACCACUAAGGCUGACAGAGGAGAUGGAUGGAGCAACAAACACUAAGGGGAGAAGGAUGGAGCAACAAACACUAAGGCUGACAGAGGAGAUGGAUGGAGCAACAAACACUAAGCUGACAGAGGAGAAGGAUGGCGCAACAAACACUAAGGCUGACAGAGAGAAGGAUGGGCAACAAACACUAAGGCUGACAGCGGAGAAGGAUGGAGUAACAAACCUAAGGCUGACAGAGGAGAUGGAUGGAGUAACAAACACUAACGCUGACAGAGGAGAAGGAUGGAGCAACAAACUAAGGCUGACAGAUGAGAUGGAUGGCGCAACAAACACUAAGCUGACAGAGGAGAAGGAUGGAGCAACAACACACGGCUGCCGAGGAGAGGAUGGAGCACACAAACACUAAGGCUGACAGAGGAGAUGGAUGGAGUAACAAACACUAACGCUGACAGAGAGAAGGAUGAGCAACAAACACUAAGGCUGACACGAUGAGA
rnacentral:lncRNA from 1 species